rnacentral:rRNA from 1 species
GACGAACGCUGGCGGCGUGCCUAACACAUGCAAGUCGUACGGGACCGGGGGCGAACUCCGGUUCAGGUGGCAGACGGGUGCGUAACACGUGAGGAACUUGUCCGGUGGCGGGGGGAUAGCCGGCCCAACGGGCCGGGUAAUACCGCAUACGCUCGUUCGGGGGCAUCCCUGGGCGAGGAAAGCAGCCGCAAGGUUGCGCCGACGGAGGGCCUCGCGACCUAUCAGCUUGUUGGCGGGUAACGGCCCACCAAGGCACGACGGGUAGCUGGUCUGAGAGGAUGAUCAGCCACAUUGGGACUGAGACACGGCCCAGACUCCUACGGGAGGCAGCAGUGGGGAA